AUUUUUUGUUUGUUUCCGUCAAUUCUCCUCCCUUUCCUUCCCUCCCCAUCUUCAUCCUUCCUUUCCUCCCUCUCUUUCCCUUCUUCUUUGUGUUUGUUUCCAUCAUUUCCGCCAAUUUUACUUUCUUCUUUAUUUCCAUGUUUCCUCCUUGACCCCACUGAUCUUUUUACUUCCGUUCGUCUUUCUUCGCUUUCUGCUUCUCAUUUCCUUUAAUCUCUCUCUCUCUCCCUCUAUUUUUUUUUUCUCUUCCUCCAAACUCUUUAUCUUUUCUCUCUUGCGUUUCCGUCAACUUCAUUUUCCUUAACCUUCAUUUCCUUCUUUUCUGUGCCUCAUUUAUCCUAUUUCUUUCUUUUCCUUUGCUUUGUUUUCUGUUACUUAUUCCAUUUCAUAUCUCCAUUGUUUCCCUUCCUCCUUUCUCUUCCGUUCCUCUUUUCAUUUAAUCUCACUUUCUCUUCCUCCUUUCCCUUCCAUUCAAUUUCCUCCUUUCACUUUCUCUCCAUUCCUUCUCCUUCCUCCUCCUGCUCCUCUUCCUCCUUUCCCUUCGUUCCUCUUUCCAUUCAAUCUCCCCCUUUCACUUUCUCUCCAUUCCUUCUUCUUCCUCCUCCUGCUCCUCUUCCUUCCUUUAUUUCUCUCUCUCCUUCCUUCUGUUUCUUCCCCCUUCUCCUUUUUACUCUCCAUUCUUUAUCUCCCUCCCUCCCUCCCUCCUUCCCUCCAUCUUAAAGGCAGCGCCGAAGUGGAGACUCUCGACCUGGGUAUGUCUUGUAGAAGUAUUCUGUGCCUCAAAGGUAAAGACGAACACCUGUACACUGUUUUGCCUCACCCCCCUGUCUGUGUUCUCUGGCUGGCCCGCUGGCUGACUGACUGGCUACCUCCUUGGAGACUUACAAUGCGCUGGCUGUUAUUUCGAUUCCCUCUUUCUCUAUUUGUCUCUUUUGUCAGCGUGUUACUUUUCUGUGUUUUACCUUUGUUUUGUUUUUUGUAUGUUUUGUUAUGUGUGUUUUUGUCUUUGUGUUUCAUGUCAGAAUUAUUGGUCGAUAUUAUAAGGCAUUUUCGCUCCUAAUAUCAGCUAUUUCUAUAGGUCAAAGAGGGGGUCAGUCGGGUUCUAAUGAGUGUUUCUUUAGGUUCAUGGUACAGAGGAAGGGUCAAACUACCACCAGGGUCAUAAAACUACUCCUGGAAAUGCCCACAACUCCUACGAAAGCCUUGUCAAAUAGGUGUUUCUUAGGUUCACGGUACAGAGGAAGGGUCAAACUACCACCAGGGUCAUAAAACUACUCCUGGAAAUGCCCACAACUCCUACGAAAGCCUUGUCAAAUAGGUGUUUCUUAGGUUCACGGUACAGAGGAAGGGUCAAACUACCACCAGGGUCAUAAAACUACUCCUGGAAAUGCCCACAACUCCUACGAAAGCCUUGUCAAAUAGGUGUUUCUUAGGUUCACGGUACAGAGGAAGGGUCAAACUACCACCAGGGUCAUAAAACUACUCCUGGAAAUGCCCACAACUCCUACGAAAGCCUUGUCAAAUAGGUGUUAUUGAGCAACGAAAUAUCUUGUAAUACGACCCAUAAUGUGUUGGUUCUUACGUCUUUUCAUAUCUACCCAUUUUUUCUCUUUUCAUUAAUGUCAGUUCCAUGUGUUUUUCCUUUGUUUCUUUCUUGUCGUUUUUACAUAUGUUUUUUUUUAAUUUGUAUGUAUUUAUGUUUGAUGUUGAAGAAGUACAAUUAUCUGCGUGUAAGUACUUCUUUUCCCAGUCUAUUUUUUUUUAUAUGUUCUUUCUUUGUUUUGCCUUUUAAUAUUUCUUCAAUCCUGUGUUGUUUUGUUACUUGUUGGUAUACUGCUGUUUAUGUGUUUUGGCGUGUCUGUCUGUCUAUAUGUGCAUGUGUGUUUUCUCUGUGAUUCCUCCCGCAUCGUGUCUCUUGUUCCUUGUCUGUGCUCAUGUUGAAGUCUGUGGCUGUGUCUUUUUACCCCGGUGGUAGCAGCGGGGAUCAUGUUUCUUAAUGGUCCCUCCAAGCGAGAAAAAUGAGAAAAAAUCACCCCUCACACAAACUAUUCCAUAAUAUAUAUCAAAGCAUUUGUGAUCAGAUUAUGUAUCAUCUAUUUUGGGGGUUUAUUUCAUGGCACAAAUCUGGCCCGUCGCUGCUACACGGUAAAGCCACAAAUUUGGCCCGUCGCUGCUACACGGUAAAGCCACAAAUUGGGCCCGUCGCUGCUACACGGUAAAGCCACAAAUUUGGCCCGUCGCUGCUACACGGUAAAGCCACAAAUUUGGCCCGUCGCUGCUACACGGUAAAGCCACAAAUUGGGCCCGUCGCUGCUACCGGGUUAA